ACGCUCGACACCUACGGGAGGCUGCAGUUAGGAAUAUUGGGCAAUGGAGGAAACUCUGACCCAGCAACGCCGCGUGAAGGAAGAAGGUUUUCGGAUUGUAAACUUCUGAUCUAGGGGAAGAAGGAAGUGACGGUACCCUAGGAGAAAGCCACGGCUAACUACGUACCAGCAGCCGCGGUAAUCUGAGCGGGCUGGCAAGGC
rnacentral:rRNA from 1 species